CAUUCCCCUUGCUUCGAACGUGAAGAAAGCCAUGGUCGGUGGUCGCCGUUAUAUGGUCAGCCACUUGGCUCCGAACUCCACACCGAUAACAUUCCUCCUAAAUUUAGGUAGAAGGUGGACGAAUCUCGGGCCACAUUACCUGGCUGCAAGCCGUGCAUGUGUACUCUGGCUGCAUAGCAUACCGUGGCACUAUACCGUGGCUGCAUACUUUUGAGUACAUACUGUAAUAUCUGGCUGUAAUAUCCCGGUCCACAGAAUCCUGGGCCGUAUGACCCCGGACCACUUGACCCAGGGUGGGACAGUGCUUACAAGACUUUCACUAAUAUUGAUGUGUAAAUACUUGUAUUGUGUGAAUAUACAUGAAACUAUAUACAUUGAAAAAAAAU